GAUGAACGCUGGCGGCGUGCUUAACACAUGCAAGUCGAACGAAGCACUUUUUCAUCUUCGGAAGGAAAAGCGACUGAGCGGCGGACGGGUGAGUAACGCGUGGGUAACCUGCCUUAUACAGGGGGAUAACAGUUAGAAAUGACUGCUAAUACCGCAUAACCCGCUAAUACCACAUGGUAUAGACGGAAAAGAUUUAUCGGUAUAAGAUGGACCCGCGUAUGAUUAGCUAGUUGGUGGGGUAACGGCCUACCAAGGCAACGAUCAGUAGCCGGCUUGAGAGAGUGAACGGCCACAUUGGGACUGAGACACGGCCCAAACUCCUACGGGAGGCAGCAGUGGGGAAUAUUGCACAAUGGGGAAACCCUGAUGCAGCAACGCCGCGUGAAGGAAGACGUAUUUCGGUAUGUAAACUUCUAUCAGCAGGAAAGAAAAUGACGGUACCUGACUAAGAAGCCCCGGCUAACUACGUGCCAGCAGCCGCCGUAAUAC
rnacentral:rRNA from 1 species